AUUUGGUGUUAAGGACACUUGAUGCAUAGUUUCUUGAAUCUUUCCCAGUAGUCAUAGAGCAACUCUCCUGGGUGUUGCUUGAAACCGCAUAUCUCCUUUCUCAGACU